UCAUGUCUAAAGUUAAGCAAUCUAUACCGUGAAACUGCGAAUGGCUCAUUAAAUCAGUUAUCGUUUAUUUGAUAGUACCUUACUACUUGGAUACCUGUGGUAAUUCUAGAGCUAAUACAUGCUAAAAACCUCGACUUCGGAAGGGGUGUAUUUAUUAGAUAAAAAACCAAUGCCCUCCGGGGCUCCUUGGUGAUUCAUAAUAACUCAACGAAUCGCAUGGCCUUGCGCCGGCGAUGGUUCAUUCAAAUUUCUGCCCUAUCAACUUUCGAUGGUAGUAUAGAGGACUACCAUGGUUUCUACGGGUAACGGGGAAUUAGGGUUCUAUUCCGGAGAGGGAGCCUGAGAAACGGCUACCACAUCCAAGGAAGGCAGCAGGCGCGCAAAUUACCCAAUCCCGACACGGGGAGGUAGUGACAAUAAAUACUGAUCCAGGGCUCUUUUGGGUCUUGGAAUUGGAAUGAGUACAAUUUAAAUCCCUUAACGAGGAACAAUUGGAGGGCAAGUCUGGUGCCAGCAGCCGCGGUAAUUCCAGCUCCAAUAGCGUAUAUUAAAGUUGUUGCAGUUAAAAAGCUCGUAGUUGAAACUUGGGUCUGGCUGACCGGUCCGCCUCACCGCGUGCACUGGCUCGGCCGGACCUUUCCUUCUGGGGAACCGCAUGGCCUUCAUUGGCCGUGUGGGGGAUCCAGGACUUUUACUUUGAAAAAAUUAGAGUGUUCAAAGCAGGCCUAUGCUCGAAUACAUUAGCAUGGAAUAAUAGAAUAGGACGUGCGGUUCUAUUUUGUUGGUUUCUAGGACCGCCGUAAUGAUUAAUAGGGACGAGGAAUACACCCUAAUUCCCGUUACCCGUAAAACCAUAAAAAGCUGGUGUUCAAAAAGCGUGGUCGUCAAAGGGAUGGGGAUCAAAAAAUAUCCGGCAAUCCUUGGGAGCAUGUAAGCGUUGAAAUAGUGUGGUAGCGAUCGAUUUGAGGCCCGACAUUAGUACUGAUUAUGAAACAUCUUUGGGAAUGUUUCGCAGUAGUAGUCCUAGAAAAUCCCAGAACUCACGUCUGACAAUGACUAAGAAUGCCCCAACUGACCGUAUGAUCUUAUGGCGUCCCGAAGACAUCACAGUAGGAUCAGGGUCUUCCGCGUUAUGCAUGCUAAGGUAUGAGAGCAUUGACCCCUUUGAACAUUCUAAGUAUCCAAAGUAACUUCGCGGACUACGCAUCUGAGUCCGUGAAGGCUAGACACACGUCCAUGACAAGAAGGGUGGGGGUAACAGUAUCAGCCAGUCGGCAGCCUGAGUCCUCCAAUCCAAAAUCCAAGUACGAGCUUUUGAACAGCAUCAAAUUACAUAUAUGGUAUGGAGAUGGAAUCAGGGCGGGGGCUGAUAACUGACCUGCACUUGAAUGAUAGAAUGGGACGUGCGGUUCUAUUUUGUUGGUUUCUAGGACCGCCGUAAUGAUUAAUAGGGAUAGUCGGGGGCAUCAGUAUUCAAUUGUCAGAGGUGAAAUUCUUGGAUUUAUUGAAGACUAACUACUGCGAAAGCAUUUGCCAAGGAUGUUUUCAUUAAUCAGUGAACGAAAGUUAGGGGAUCGAAGACGAUCAGAUACCGUCGUAGUCUUAACCAUAAACUAUGCCGACUGGGGAUCGGACGGUGUUAUUAUUUUGACCCGUUCGGCACCCUACGAGAAAUCAAAGUCUUUGGGUUCUGGGGGGAGUAUGGUCGCAAGGCUGAAACUUAAAGACAUUGACGGAAGGGCACCACCAGGCGUGGAGCCUGCGGCUUAAUUUGACUCAACACGGGGAAACUCACCAGGUCCAGACACAAUAAGGAUUGACAGAUUGAGAGCUCUUUCUUGAUUUUGUGGGUGGUGSUGCAUSGCCSUUYUKAGUUGCUGGAGUGAUCUGCCUGCCUAACCGCGAUAACGAACGACACCCUCUCCUGCUAAAUAGCCCGGUCCGCCUCUGGCGGGCCGCCGCGCUUCUUAGAGGGACUCUCGGCUCAAGCCGAUGGAAGUUUGAGGCAAUAACAGGUCUGUGAUGCCCUUAGAUGUUCUGGGCCGCACGCGCGCUACACUGACCGAGACAACGAGUUCAUCCCCUUGGCCGGAAGGUCUGGGUAAUCUUGCUAACCUCGGUCGUGCUGGGGAUAGAGCAUCGCAAUUAUUGCUCUUCAACGAGGAAUGCCUAGUAAGCGCAAGUCAUCAGCUUGCGUUGAUUACGUCCCUGCCCUUUGUACACCCCGCCCGUCGCUACUACCGAUCGAAUGGCUCAGUGAGGCCUUCGGACUGGCCCAGAGAGGUCGGCAACGACCACUCCGGGCCGGAAAGUGUCA
rnacentral:rRNA from 1 species